AAGUUGGUCUAAUAAAAGAUAUCAGAUUCACCCAAAGAACCUUGUCCACAUAAAUUAUAUGGAAUAUAAUUAUAAAGCCCUACUUGAAAUUCCUACAAGACAAUUUAAUUCUGUUUUCUCAUUUUUUAAUUUAUUAAUUUAUUUUUUGUAUAACACUAAGUAAUAUAUUUCAUUAGCAGAGUUGAAAGGAAUACUGUGUUUAUCACUUACUUGAUUCAAUAUAUUGACAUCUAUAUGCACAUAUUUAUUAGACACAAAGCAGAGAACUUUAUGGCAACUGCCAUAAGAGAGCUGGUAGCCAAGGUCCCAUUAAUUUUGUUGUUAAUCUUGAAUCCCUCAUCUCAGAAUACCCUUUAACCUGAAGGUUACUCUGCUCUUUUGAGUACUGGAGUGGGAAAGGCAGGGUUAAAUUCUCUCAAAUAAGAGACUUUAAUCCAGAUCUCCAGUGUUUUGUGAGUGUUCUAGCCAUGGGGUUAUUGUGUAACAAGGGACACCACUGACAGCCACCACUGCCUUCAGAUUAAAAUAUAACUGCUCCCAUUCUUUAAAGAAAGGGGAAUUACUUCACUUCCUAGAAGAGAGAGAGAUAAGGGCUGUGAAACCCUAUCAGGAUAGGCACUUCCCAUAUUGGCUGUCUAAGAGCCUAUUUAUAUUGCUAUCUUACCAUGCUGAGCAGUAGGGGUGUGUGAAGCAGGCCCUAUUCAAUUCAGAUUCAGCCCAAAUUGGGGACAGUGAUUCAAUUAAUUGAUUCGGAUCACUGUCCCUGAUUCGAUUCGGCCAAAUCUGAAUCUGAAGGUUCGAUGCUGAUUUGGAGAAUCAGUGAUUCAGGCAUAGACACAGCUUUAAAAGUUUUUUUUUUUUUUUUUUUUUUUUUUUUUUUUUUUUUUUUUGGAGCAUCCCACAGGAGUGCUGGGGGGCCCUCCACAUGCUCAGCGGCGAACCCAGAAGUGGACUGGAAAGUGCUUCUGGUCCACUUCUGGGUCUGCUGCUGAGCAUGCUGGGGGAACCCCCCAUGCUUCUGUGGGACACUCCAUGCACCAGAGCAUCACAGCACUCAUGAGCCCCUGCUACCUAGAGGUAGAUAGAAAAAACUUCUAAAGCUGUGUCUGUGUCCAAAUUUCCAAAUCUUUCCAAACUGAUUCAGAGCAUUCCAGUUUGAUUUGGAGACAUUAAAGGGUCCUCUGAUUCGAUUCGGAGAUUUGGCCACCGAAUCGAGCCAAAUCUCUGCUUAAUCUAAUCGGGGAUCAAAGCUUUGCACAGCCCUACUAAGCAGUCCUUCUCUGGAACAUGCUAUACUGUUCUGUGUGUGCUGCUUCCCACACUAGAAGUAGUGUAGUCAUGGUUAAUAUGGCACUGUGAUCAGGCUAAUUUGUUCUGCUGAAUGGCAGAGAUAAUUAGUGCAGGUACAGUGCCACAUGAACAGAGCUACAUCAGCUCCUUUGGGAGAUAACAUGUAUAGAACACAGUGGGCACGUCUGCGUGUUCAUUAAUAAGCCAUAAUUAUGGCACAUUAAGUUUAGUACCUGUAAUGACAGCUAUUAACUUAAUAUGCUGUAAUCAGCGCUACUGCGCAUUAGCACAGAUGAAUGCUUUUUUUUUGUGUCACUUAAUGCACAUUAGACUAAGUCUACUGAGUAAUAGUUCAUUAGCAUGCUUUUUGCAUGACUCACUAAUGCACAGUAGAAUUAGUCUAAUGUACAUUUUGCAUCUCAUGUGGACGUACUCAAUGGCAUGUUUCAAUGCUGCAGUCACUGGUGUGGUAAAUUAUCAGCACAGACAUUCCCUAGCUGCAUGUCAAUCCUGCUAGUUAAAGUUAAUUUAAGGCUACCUUCACAUUAGCACUUGUCAACCAUCAGUAGAUGGUACGCUAAAAACCUGGGCUGUGUGAAGCUUCGGUCCCUGAUUCAAUUUGGCUCAUUUCAGUGGCCAAAUCUCUGAAUCCGAAUCAAAUCAGAGGACCCUUUAAUCUCUCCGAAUUGAUUUAGAAUUCCCCCCAAAUCAAUUCAGACAGAUUCGGCGAUUCGGACAUAGAUACAACUUUAAAUGAUUUUUCUACAUACUUCUAGGUAGCAGGGUGUCACAGAGCACUAAGGUGCCCUGUGCCUGAAGAGGGGAAAAACUGCUAAAGAAGGAUCCCUAGCGGUGAUUAGGGAGCACAGCUGUGGGUUGCCAGGGCAACUAAUGAGAGUCAGCUGGCUGGAAGGGGCAGGGCCUGGCCCUUAUAAAGCCCAGAAGCAGAGGCCUGAGGCAGUUCGCUGUCAGCAGCCAGAGAGGCAGGAGCUCCCUAAGGCAGGAGGAACAGCAGUGAGUACCUGAACUGAUUACUUAUCUUCAUCUUGGAACAUCUCUGAUAUCUGUGGCUCAUCCUUUGCAACAACAUCUGAGUUUUUCAAGGCUCUUUGAGGACGUGAAGCCCAUGGAAGUUAUUGGAGAGACAUAUUAAUUCCAGUAGCUGUGGAUCGAGUUCUGUGCCUUGCCUUUUCACUGAAAUAAGGCCAAUUUUGCAGAGAAGGGACGGGGAUAUUGAUGGCUGAAUUUCUGAAAAGGACAAAUGCUAGUUAAUCUGCCUUGUCAAUAUUUGACAAAUAGCAGAGCUUCUAAUCUUUAUCUACUUUCAAAUUGUAAAGAAUCAUUCUAGCGGUAAUUGCUGAAUUUCUAUAUUUGGAGUAAAAAGCAUCUCAAAAUCCUGUGUCUUUAUAAUUAUAUAUGACUUUUAAAUAAGUGUAGAAAUAUGGUAACUAUAGCUAGACUAUAGCUUUACCACCAAGCAGUACUUCUGUGGCUUUAGCACCUGCAGCAUCAAAUCUAAGAUCAGAACUCUGUUGUUCCAGUUGUUAUACAUGCGUAAUGAAGAUAUAGACUUACUUCAGAGCUAUAUGAUUUAAAAGAAUUGUUACCUAAAUUUAUUAUGUUAGUAGACACAGGAUAACCUUUACUCAAUAAAACUUAAA